ensembl:snRNA U4 U4 spliceosomal RNA
AGCUUUGCGCAGUGGCAGUAUCGUAGCCAAUGAGGUUAAUCCAAGGCGCGAUUAUUGCUAGUUGAAAUCUUUUAUUGGACCAACUUCUGGUGGUGAGAGAGACAGGCUUUCGAGCCACACAGACCUCUUCAGGU